rnacentral:rRNA from 1 species
AUUGAACGCUGGCGGCAGGCCUAACACAUGCAAGUCGAACGAGUGGCAGACGGGUGAGUAAUGUCUGGGAAACUGCCUGAUGGAGGGGGAUAACUACUGGAAACGUUAGCUAAUACCGCAUAACAGCCGACGUGCCCAUCUGGGCUUGGCUAGUGGGUGGGGUAAAGGCUCACCUAGGCGACUAUCCCUAGCUGGUCUGAGAGGAUGCCCAGCAACACUGGAACUGAGACACGGUCCAGACUCCUACGGGAGGCAGCAGUGGGGAAUAUUGCACAAUGGGCGCAAGCCUGAUGAAGCCAUGCCGCGUGUAUGAAGAAGGCCUUCGGGUUGUAAAGUACUUUCAGCGGGGAGGCGUUACCCGCAGAAGAAGCACCGGCUAACUCCGUGCCAGCCGCCGCGGUAAUAC